rnacentral:lncRNA from 1 species
AGGGUGUGCCCAAGUGUGAAAAACGGGAUGCGGGUGAGGAGAGUGGACUUUAUACAGCUGGUGAGAGGGAGUCAAUGAAGAAUGUAUGUUACAAGUUUUACGUGAUGACGGUAUUUUCAAUUCGUGGUUGAUUGAAUCCAUGGAUACAGAACCCACUGGCAUGAAGGACUGACUGUGAGGAACUUGAGCAUCCGUGGAUUUUAUCAUCUGUGGGAAUGUCUGGGAACGAAUCCCCUGCAGAUACCAAGCGACGACUAUACUCCAACAUACACCACUUUGUAUAUCAAUUCGUGAUUCUUUGACCUCUUGAAGUCGGUACAUGAACAUUCGGUGAAGAACCCCCAUUUCCAUUAGAAGAUCCCCAAAGCUUCAAACAUCUCUUACAAUUGUAACAUAUUCAGAGAUGCAGAAGCGAAGUGAGAAUCAGCAACGCCUUACAAAAACAGAGUGGUACCUCCAUUACAAAAUAUGUCUCUGCAUAUUUAGAUAUGUGUCUUUCUGUUUUACCUACUUAGCAACAAUAUGGUAAAAAUGUUUGGCAAAUGCUACUGAAAGAAUGAAAUAUAUAAUCAUGCCUUAGGAGCUUUCUGCCUUAAGGUUUUGCUGAACAAGAAGGAAAUCAACAUUUAUUAAGUAUCUUCUCUGUGCCAGUGACUAUGUUAAACACUUUUAGGCAUUACCUCAUUUCUUCUUCAAAACAGUGCCAUAAUAUAGGUAUGACAACUGCCCUUUUAGGAGCUGAAGAAAUUGAGGUUAGUGGAUAAUAAGCAGCCUGCCCAAAGUCCCAGAAUUCUUAAGUGGCAGAGCUCAGACUGAAUACAAUGUCUAAUUUUAGGCCUAUAUUCUGUUACAUUUAAGAGUUUAUAAACCACUGAAAUGAGGUUUAUUCUCAUUCUGCAGUAAGACUGUGAGCCUUUCCCCUGCAAAGUAAAGGUUAAUCAUGUAUGGGGCUGUGAGGCAAAUGUUUCAUACUGACA